GCGUUGGUGGUGCAGUGGUGAGCAUAGCUGCCUUCCAAGCAGCUGUACUGGGUUCAAUUCCCGACCAACGCC